ACGCGUGAAGUAGACCGCCUGGGAUACGGUCGCAAGAUUAAACUCAAAGAAUUGACGGGACCGCACAAGCGGUGAUGAUGUGGAUAAUUCGAUCAACGCGAAAACCUUACCUACCCUUGACAUGUACAGAAUGCCGAAGAGAUUUGGCGGUGCUCGCAAGAGAACUGUAACACAGGUGCUGCAUGGCUGUCGUCAGCUCGUGUCGUGAGAUGUUGGGUUAAGUCCCGCAACGAGCGCAACCCUUGUCAUUAGUUGCUACAUUAAGUUGAGCACUCUAAUGAGACUGCCGGUGACAAACCGGAGGAAGGUGGGGAUGACGUCAAGUCCUCAUGGCCCUUAUGGGUAGGGCUUCACACGUCAUACAAUGGUACAUACAGAGGGCCGCCAACCCGCGAGGGGGAGCUAAUCCCAGAAAGUGUAUCGUAGUCCGGAUUGUAGUCUGCAACUCGACUACAUGAAGUUGGAAUCGCUAGUAAUCGCGGAUCAGCAUGUCGCGGUGAAUACGUUCCCGGGUCUUGUACACACCGCCCGUCACACCAUGGGAGCGGGUUUCACCAGAAGUAGGUAGCUUAACCGCAAGGAGGGCGCUUACCACGGUGGGAUUCGUGACUGGGGUGAAGUCGUAACAAGGUAGCCGUA
rnacentral:rRNA from 1 species